CAGUAGCCACGGUAAUACGUAGGGUGCGAGCGUUAAUCGGAAUUACUGGGCGUAAAGCGUGCGCAGGCGGUUCGUUAAGACAGAUGUGAAAUCCCCGGGCUUAACCUGGGAACUGCAUUUGUGACUGGCGAGCUAGAGUAUGGCAGAGGGGGGUAGGAUUCCACGUGUAGCAGUGAAAUGCGUAGAGAUGUGGAGGAAUACCGAUGGCGAAGGCAGCCCCCUGGGCCAAUACUGACGCUCAUGCACGAAAGCGUGGGGAGCAAACAGGAUUAGAGACCCCUGUAGUCCCUGUCUCUUAUAA
rnacentral:rRNA from 1 species